CAAGUCGAGCGAGUCUACCUUGUAGCAAUAUGAGGUAAGUCGAGCGGCGUAGGGGGCAGUAAUACCUGGGAACGUACCCUGAGGUCGGGGAUAGCUGCUGGAAACGGCGAGUAAUACCCGAUGAUCUUGGAAAAGCAAAGGCUUGCCGCCUUGGGAGCGGCCCAGGCGAUAUUAGCUAGUUGGUGGGGUAAUGGCCUACCAAGGCAUAGAUGUCUAGCGGGUGUGAGAGCACGACCCGCGCCACUGGCACUGAGACACUGGCCAGACACCUACGGGUGGCUGCAGUCGAGAAUCUUCGGCAAUGAGCGCAAGCUUGACCGAGCGACGCCGCGUGCGGGAUGAAGGCCUUCGGGUUGUAAACCGCUUUGGUCCGAAAGAAAGGGUAAAACUUGAUCGAUCGGAGAAACAAGGACGGGCUAAGUUCGUGCCAGCAGCCGCGGUAAGACGAACCGUCCAAACGUUAUUCGGAAUCACUGGGCUUAAAGGGCGCGUAGGCGGCCGAGCGGGUCGUGGGUGAAAUCCCCCAGCUUAACUGGGGAACUGCUUACGAUACCACUGCGGCUCGAGGAAGGAAGGGGCAAUUGGAACUGUCGGUGGAGCGGUGAAAUGCGUUGAUAUCGACAGGAACGCCUGUGGCGAAAGCGAAUUGCUGGUCCUUUUCUGACGCUGAGGCGCGAAAGCCAGGGGAGCAAACGGGAUUAGAUACCCCGGUAGUCCUGGCCUUAAACGAUGAGAACUAGGUAGUGGGUCCGACCUGGGCACACUGCCGAAGCGAAAGUCUUAAGUUCUCCGCCUGGGGAGUAUGGUCGCGAGGCUGAAACUCAAAGGAAUUGACGG
rnacentral:rRNA from 1 species